rnacentral:rRNA from 1 species
CCUACGGGAGGCAGCAGUGAGGAAUAUUGGUCAAUGGACGUAAGUCUGAACCAGCCAUGCCGCGUGCGGGAAGACGGCUCUAUGAGUCGUAAACUUCUUUUGUACGGGGGUAAACUCCGAUACGUGUCUCUUUCUGAAUGUACCGUACGAAUAAGGAUCGGCUAACUCCGUGCCAGCAGCCGCGGUAAUACGGAGGAUUCAAGCGUUAUCCGGAUUUAUUGGGUUUAAAGGGUGCGUAGGCGGUCGGAUAAGUUAGAGGUGAAAUCCCGAGGCUCAACUUCGGAAUUGCCUCUGAUACUGUUCGGCUAGAGAGUAGUUGCGGUAGGCGGAAUGUGUGGUGUAGCGGUGAAAUGCUUAGAGAU